rnacentral:rRNA from 1 species
UACGUAGGGUGCGAGCGUUAAUCGGAAUUACUGGGCGUAAAGCGUGCGCAGGCGGUUCGUUGUGUCGGCGGGGAAAGCCCCGGGCUUAACCUGGGAAUGGCCGUUGAAACUGGCGAACUGGAGUGUGGCAGAGGAGGGUGGAAUUCCGCGUGUAGCAGUGAAAUGCGUAGAGAUGCGGAGGAACACCGAUGGCGAAGGCAGCCCCCUGGGCUAACACUGACGCUCAGGCACGAAAGCGUGGGGAGCAAACAGG